rnacentral:rRNA from 1 species
AUACGGAGGGUGCAAGCGUUAAUCGGAAUUACUGGGCGUGAAGCGUACGUAGGCGGUUCGUUAAGUUAGAUGUGAAAGCCCCGGGCUUAACCUGGGAACUGCAUUUAAAACUGGCGAACUAGAGUUGAGUAGAGGGGAGUGGAAUUUCAGGUGUAGCGGUGAAAUGCGUAGAGAUCUGAAGGAACACCAGUGGCGAAGGCGACUCCCUGGACUCAAACUGACGCUGAGGUACGAAAGCGUGGGUAGCAAACGGGAUUAGAAACCCUAGUAGUCC